UACCAGCAGCCCCGAGUGGUCGGGACGUUUAUUGGGCCUAAAGCAUCCGUAGCCGGUUCUACAAGUCUUCCGUUAAAUCCACCUGCUUAACAGAUGGGCUGCGGAAGAUACUAUAGAGCUAGGAGGCGGGAGAGGCAAGCGGUACUCGAUGGGUAGGGGUAAAAUCCGUUGAUCCGUUGAAGACCACCAGUGGCGAAGGCGGCUUGCCAGAACGCGCUCGGACGGUGAGGGAUGAAAGCUGGGGGGGCAAACCGGAGUUA
rnacentral:rRNA from 1 species